rnacentral:misc_RNA from 1 species
AGAAAGCAUGCUAUCGUCCAGGCUUUUAUUAUUACGAUCGUUACUCAUAGUAUCCACCAACUCGCAGUGGAGCAGCGUGGUGGAAUAAGCUCUGAUCCUUCUCCUACACGGAGAGAGAGCCAGUGAGCUUUUACAGUCUAAAUUAAUUACUAAUUUUUUUGUUCAUUAAAUGAAAUAAAAAUCAAUAUGUAAUAUGUCUGAGCAUGUUUCAGGCUUAUGCUAAUGAAAGUUCUGCAGUCGUUAAUAGUUCAUAUGUCAGAAUUUGUUUAAAAACAAUAUCUCAAGUAUUUUUUUCAGUAGUGGGCUAUGUUUAAAUGCGCUUAAUCUAAAUACAUUAAUAUAUUGAUCACAUAAAUAUAAUCAACAUACAAUUGAUAAUUAACAACACAAAUUAUUUAAGAUUCUCCUCACUAAAGCUAACGCAAUUUAUGCUUUGACACGUUUUAAAUUUUUCGUACAUCGAAAAUGUCGUAU